rnacentral:rRNA from 1 species
GGGGAAUAUUGGACAAUGGGGGGAACCCUGAUCCAGCCAUGCCGCGUGUGUGAAGAAGGCCUUAUGGUUGUAAAGCACUUUAAGCGAGGAGGAGGCUCUUUUGGUUAAUACCCAAGAUGAGUGGACGUUACUCGCAGAAUAAGCACCGGCUAACUACGUGCCAGCAGCCGCGGUAAUACGUAGGGUGCGAGCGUUAAUCGGAAUUACUGUGCGUAAAGCGUGCGCAGGCGGUUUUGUAAGACAGGCGUGAAAUCCCCGGGCUCAACCUGGGAACUGAGCUUGUGACUGCAAGACUAGAGUACGGCAGAGGGGGGUGGAAUUCCACGUGUAGCAGUGAAAUGCGUAGAGAUGUGGAGGAACACCAAUGGCGCAGGCAGCCCCCUGGGUCGAUACCGACGCUCAUGCACGAACGCGUGGGGAGCAUACA